rnacentral:rRNA from 1 species
AGCGAACGCUGGCGGCAGGCCUAACACAUGCAAGUCGAACGAACCUUUCGGGGUUAGUGGCGGACGGGUGAGUAACACGUGGGAACGUGCCUUUAGGUUCGGAAUAACUCAGGGAAACUUGUGCUAAUACCGAAUGUGCCCUUCGGGGGAAAGAUUUAUCGCCUUUAGAGCGGCCCGCGUCUGAUUAGCUAGUUGGUUGAGGUAAUGGCUCACCAAGGCGACGAUCAGUAGCUGGUCUGAGAGGAUGAUCAGCCACAUUGGGACUGAGACACGGCCCAAACUCCUACGGGAGGCCGCAGUGGGGAAUCUUGCGCAAUGGGCGAAAGCCUGACGCAGCCAUGCCGCGUGAAUGAUGAAGGUCUUAGGAUUGUAAAAUUCUUUUACCGGGGACGAUAAUGACGGUACCCGGAGAAGAAGCCCCGGCUAACUUCGUG